rnacentral:rRNA from 1 species
GACGUAGGGGGCAAGCGUUGUUCGGAAUUAUUGGGCGUAAAGCGCUCGUAGGCGGGACUGGAAGUCCGUGUUGAAAGACCUCGGCUCAACUGAGGGACCGGCGCGGAUACUCUAGUUCUUGAGGCAAUCAGAGGGUGAUGGAAUUCCCGGUGUAGCGGUGAAAUGCGUAGAUAUCGGGAAGAACACCCGUGGCGAAGGCGGCACUCUGGGACGGUACUGGACGCUGAGACGCGAAAGCGUGGGGAGCGAACAGG